rnacentral:misc_RNA from 1 species
CGAAAUGCGAUAAGUAAUGUGAAUUGCAGAAUUCAGUGAAUCAUCGAAUCUUUGAACGCACAUUGCGCCCCUUGGUAUUCCAUGGGGCAUGCCUGUUCGAGCGUCAUUUGUACCCUCAAGCUCUGCUUGGUGUUGGGUGUUUGUCCCCGUCUCCGCGCGUGGACUCGCCCCAAAGUGAUUGGCAGCCGGCGUACUGGUCCCGGAGCGCAGCACAUGUCGCGCAAACGAGUGCCUUGGUACGGCGGCGUCCAUAAGCCCCUCUCUCACGCUCUUGACCUCGGAUCAGGUAGGGAUACCCGCUGAACUUAAGC